UCCUCCUCUUCUUCUACCUGGAACACAGAGCAAAACUACAGAUUGUACAUUCUCAAAGAUCCUGUCAAGAAAGAUCCUGUCAGAUUAAAGGUUUUGUUACAUCAUGACUGAUUCAUUAUUUCUUUCUCUUAUCUCAGAAUCUUUGAAGUCUUCAAAUGGAGCCUCAAAAAUUUCCUUUCAGACAAUGAAAAAUUCUUUCCAGGCUAGGUAAUGUAAUGCUAGAAGAAAUGCUUGGCCAUUGAUUGCAACUGAUACAUAAUAUUUGAAUAAAUGGUGAAAGAAUUAAUAUGGUGGAACUGAGCAUAUAAGAACCACCAUAUGGUAGUAUUAGUGGUUAAGAGUCUUAGCGCUAGAGUUGAAGGUUUGGUAUUCAAGUUGAAUGUAAUAGCAGUGUAGCUUGGACGGAGAGGUGGUCAGAAGGGUGGACAGCCCAGCAUUGCUUGAAAGAGUGCAGCCUGGAAUUCAACUGGAUGGUGGUACCAGUUUACCCUUCAAACCCUUCAAAAACAUUUUUAGGUAGAUACAUCAUGAGGGAGUAGAAGCAGGUUUGAAUCCUAAGCCCCAAGGUGAUGGUAUUAGAAGAUGGGGUAAUUAGGUCAUGAAGAUGGAACCCUCGAAUGGCAUUAGUGACUUUGUAAAAGAGACACCAGAACCUUGCCCCUCCUGCCAGGUGAUACAAGACCAGUCUAUGACACAGAAGAAGCCCUUCUUUAACCAUAGUGGCACCUUGAUCUCAGACUUCCAGCUUCCAGAAUUGUGAGAAAUAAAUUUCUGUUGUUU